UGACGUUAUUGUAUGUAAAUGAUUUCAGGC
rnacentral:piRNA from 1 species